CCAGUUGGCUGGAUGGCCGCUCCGUAGCGCGGACAGUGUUUUGCGUACCGCGAUUGCGGAGAGGAAAGUCCGGGCUCCAUGGAAGCACGGUGCCGGAUAACGUCCGGCGGGGGUGACCCCAGGGAAAGUGCCACAGAAAGCAAACCGCCUCUCGUUUGAGGGGUAAGGGUGAAAGGGUGCGGUAAGAGCGCACCGCGCGGCUGGUAACAGGCGCGGCACGGUAAACCCCACCGGGAGCAAGACCGAAUAGGGAUGACGAGGCGUUCGCGCCAGGCCCGUUUCCAGGCCUGAUCAUCCGGGUUGGUUGCACGAGGUGGACCGCAAGGCCUGCCCCAGAUGAAUGGUCAUCCAUCCCGCCGGCAGACCUCGGUUGUCCGGCGGGAGGACAGAACCCGGCUUACAGGCAAACUGGUGUC
rnacentral:RNase_P_RNA from 1 species